GAUGAACGCUGGCGGCGUGCCUAAUACAUGCAAGUCGAGCGAACCACUUCGGUGGUGAGCGGCGAACGGGUGAGUAACACGUAGGUGAUCUGCCCAUCAGACGGGGACAACGAUUGGAAACGAUCGCUAAUACCGGAUAGGACGAAAGUUUAAAGGUGCUUCUGGCACCGCUGAUGGAUGAGCCUGCGGCGCAUUAGCUAGUUGGUAGGGUAAAGGCCUACCAAGGCGACGAUGCGUAGCCGACCUGAGAGGGUGAACGGCCACACUGGGACUGAGACACGGCCCAGACUCCUACGGGAGGCAGCAGUAGGGAAUCUUCGGCAAUGGGCGAAAGCCUGACCGAGCAACGCCGCGUGAAUGAUGAAGGCCUUCGGGUUGUAAAGUUACUGUUAUAAGGAAGAACGACUUAGUAGGUAAAUAGGCGUAGAGUGUGACGGUACCUUA
rnacentral:rRNA from 1 species